rnacentral:rRNA from 1 species
GCCCUGCUAUAAACUUUGAUGCAUAGACACAAUAAACAUCCGCCAGGGAACUACGAGCGUUAGCUUAAAACCCAAAGGACUUGGCGGUGCUUCAGACCCCCCUAGAGGAGCCUGUUCUAGAACCGAUAACCCCCGUUUAACCUCACCACUUCUAGCCCUUCCCCGCCUAUAUACCGCCGUCGUCAGCUUACCCUGUGAAGGCACCAUAGUAAGCAAAAUGGGUAAACCCCAAAACGUCAGGUCGAGGUGUAGCACACGAAGUGGAAAGAAAUGGGCUACAUUAUCUGAAACAGAUCACUAACGAACGGUCCCUUGAAACAAAUAGACCCAAAGGAGGAUUUAGCAGUAAAGAAGGAAUAGAGCGCCCUCUUGAAGCCGGCCCUGAAGCGCGCACACACCGCCCGUCACUCUCCCCGACAACCUUAUUAAACCAAGAUAACCUAACAAAACAACAACAACAAAGGGGAGGCAAGUCGUAACAUGGUAAGUGUACCGGAAGGUGCACUUGGGACAAC